GCUGGCUGACAUUUUCCUGCCCGGAAGGAUGCAUGGCCCGGGGUCUCCUGCACCUGAGGGUGGGCGGGAGGCGGCCCCGCGGGUUGUGUUGCUGGAAAAAGGGGUCUCGAUCCAGACCCCAAGAGAGGGUUCUUGGGUCUACUUCAGGGAAGAAUUGGAGGCGAGUCACAGAGCGCAGUGAAGGAAGCAAGUUUAUUGGAAUCUACUCCGUUAGAGAGUGCAAGUCCUCAGACUGCAGGAGGAGGAACUCCCGUCCUUCGGUAGUGUCACUACUUAGAGGCAGCUGUGAGGAGCUGUGAUUAAUCGUGGAAUGUGCUGAUGUGCCCACUAAAGGUAGGGGCUGUUGGUGCACUAAUGACCAUUAAUCCUUCAACCUAAGCCUGCGCAUUGACGUUAUCUCUGAGUAGAGGGCUGGGCCGGGCUCGGUGGCCACGUCUGUAAUCCCAGCACUGUGGGAGGCCGGACAGGAGUCUCCCUUGAGCCCAGGAGUUCGAGACCAGCCUGGGCAACAUACUGAGAUGCCAUCUAUUUAAAAAAAAAAAAAAAAAAAAAAAAGCCAGUAGCCAGGCGUGGUGGUGCAUGCCUGUAGUCCCAGCUACUCAGGAGGCUGAGGCAGGAGAACUACUUGAACCUGGGAGGCGGAGGUUGCAGUGAGCUGAGAUCGCACCACACUGCCCUCCAGCCUAGCCUGGGCGACAAAGUGAGACCUUGUCUAAAAAAAAAAAAAAAACUCAGGACAUCUGGACAAUUCCGCAGACUUGGUGGGAGAUGUCCUGUAUGGCCAUAAAUAUUGUGUAAUUAUAAUUGUUGGUCAGCUUAGAAUGCGGCUAUUUUCAGACCUUUAGCAUUAACCUUAUAGGUGCCUUGUGAGUGCCUAGUUACUCACUUUAACAUGCAGUCGCUCUAGCCAUGUUUUAUUAAACCAGAUGCCUGGUAAGCAGUGGCUCCUCUAACAAGUGGGCAGCUUGGAACUGGGAACGAGAGAGCCACCGAAACAGAAUGAGGGAGACAAAGAAGUGGGCAUCACCCUUAACUCCACAAGGGCUUCCCAAGGGCGCUGUACCGUACGCAGGCCCAGGACGAACUUUAUUUCUCGCCCCAGCAUCGCUGUCCUUGUCGGUGAGACCCUGGCUUUAGGGCAGACAGGACCACGUUUCAUAAGUUCAUGCUGUCCCAGCAGAGGAAUAACGCCAGAAAGUGUUCCAGUACAACCAGAGAAAGAGAGUCCAUGAGAAAUCUGCCCUUGUGAAGUUGGAAUCCCCUCAACCUCACCCCGCUGACUUGAAUGAAGCGACUGAGACGGGCUAUGAUGGAGCAGAUCCGGUUGCUCGACCUUCUCCCUUGCACCAACACAUGUAGUUAAUAGUUACUGGACAUGCAUAUUCAGUGGGUUCCAGGUACCAAACUUGUAUUGAAUGGUAUGUGCCAGACACCGUCUUGAGAUCUGGAGAAUAAAAAAAUAAAAAAAUAAAAACGAGACAUCCAGAGCACAGUAGCCUUGCGGUCUUCCUGGAACUAGAGAAAAUUCAGCCCUUCUGCUCCUUGGGAAGCUAUGUUUGGGAAAAAAAAAAAAAGAGAGAGAGAGAGACUCCAAAGAGUUUGUUAUUAAAUUUAAGUUCAAACUAGGUGUAUAUAGUACAAAAGUUCUUACCAUGCAUUUAAUCUUAAAAUGUGCUGAUAUCUAGAACCCUAAAACCCUGCACUUUUUUAUUGCCUCUUACAUUAUUAUUUUGGUCAUGUAUGAAAUAUAUCAGGCAUCUCUCGGUACAGGUGAAAUGCUACAUGUUCUAAACUAAGGAAUAAGUGCAUUAUUAUAAUGUCUUCCUUGGCCAAACUGUAUAAAUCCCCCCCUCCGCCCGCCCCGGCCAACAUCCCUUCCCUGCUUUUUUUUUUCUUUCUUUCCUAGUGCUUACCUUCACCUAAAAUGUCCUAUAUUUUUACUUUUUUUUUCUGGUUAUUUUCUUUCUUUCUUUUUUUUUUUGACAGUCUUGCUCUGUCACCCAGGCUGGAGUGCAGUGGCGCGAUCUCGGCUCACUGCAACCUCCACCUCCCAGGUUCAAGCGAUUCUUCUGCCUCAGCCUCCCGAGUAACUGGAACUACAGGCCCGCGCCAUCAUGCCUGGCUAAUUUUUGUAUUUUUCUUUAGUGGAGACAGGGUUUCACCAUAUUGGCCAGGCUGGUCUUGAACUCCUGACCUCGUGAUCCGCCCGCCUCAGCCUCGCAAAGUGCUGGGAUUACAGGCCUGAGCCACCGAGCCUGGCCUCUUUCUUUCUUUUCUUUCUUUCUCUCUCUCUUUCUUUCCUUCUCUCUCUCUCUCUCGGCUGACCACCAAGCCUGAGUACUUUUUGUAUUUUUUGUAGAGAUGGGGUUUUGCCACAUUGCUCAGACUGGUCUCAACUGAUCAGCUCACUUCGGCCUCCCAAAGUGCUAGGAUUACAGGCAUGAGCCAUUGUGCUGGGCCUUUUUCUGGUUAUUUUCUCCCUGCCCACUAGAAUGUGAGUUCCAUAAGGGCAGGGCUGAAAGUUUUGUUGCUUUUUGCUACCGCUACUAUUUUUCAAGAAUUUGUAACCAGUGUACUUUGUGCGAGUACCUAGCACAUAGUAGCUGUUCAAUAAAUAUUUACUGAGUACAGCUAAUGAAUACUGAAUUACCGUGAAUAUUUUAAAUAAUUACUUGCUUUGUAAAGAAAUCUAUUUCUUCUCUCUGCCCAACUGCUGCUGCAUCGCCAUCACAGACACCAGCCAUGUGCAGCCUAUCUAGCUAGCCAGGGUCACCAAGGUCCUGGGCAGAACCAGCUCUCAGGGACAGUGCAUGCGGGAAUUUAUGGAAGACACAAGCCACUCCAUCAUCCACAGUGUAAAAGACCCCAUGCGCAAGGGCUAUGUGCUCACCCUGUUGGAGUCAGAGCGAGAGGCCUGGAGGUUGCACUGAGCUUGGCUGCUCACUGGGUCUUGGAUGUUGGGUUCGACCACUUGGUCCAUGAGAAUGCUGUGCCAUGAUCUGCUCCUUUAUUUUAUUUGCCAGCCGCACAGGAAUUGAGAUAUGCAUUUAAAUAAAGUGUUUGUGUGCCAAAUUAGAAAGAAAAGAAAGGAAAGAGACAAAGAAAGAAGAGAGAGAGAAAGAAAGAAAGAGAGAAAAAGAAAGGAAGGAAGGAAAAAAGGAGGGAGGAGAGAAGGAAGGAAAUCUUUUUUUAAAUUAUUAU
rnacentral:lncRNA from 1 species